CUGGGCUGGCAUAGAAUGGUGUUAGCUUGUCAUGUUCACCCUGAGGGAAGCUCCAAGUUGUUUUUUCUCCUGCUUUCCUUCCUUUGUGUUCAUGCUUGGGUUGCCAUUACCCUCUCUGUCUUUCAGGCCUGUCUAUGCCUAGUGGGGAAUGUACUGCUGGCUUUUACUGUAAAGGUGGAGCAGUCCUCCCUAAUCCAACAGAUGAUGUGACUGGGAAUAUCUGCCCUGUGGGGUCUUACUGCACUGCAGGGUCAGCAGAACCCAAGCUGUGCCCAGCUGGCACUUUCUCCAGCCUGCCAGGAAGGAGAACACUUUCUGAAUGCCAACCUUGUCCCUCUGGCUUCUACUGUGAGGGUCCUGGUCUCAGUGCCCCCACUGGAGAGUGCUGGGAAGGCUAUUACUGUGACAACCAGCAGGGGCCAGUUACUGAUUUCACUCUUUACCCGUGCCCACAAGGCUUUUACUGCCCACCAGGGACAAGCAGGAGCACUCAGUACAGCUGUCCAGCAGGAACGUUUGGCCCAAGGCAAAAACUGAAAGCUGUCAAAGAAUGUCAGAGCUGCCCACCAGGAAAAUACUGUGAAUUCUCUGGACUUGCUGCCCCUACAGGAGACUGUGCUGAGGGAUUUUGGUGCAGAAUUGGUGCCCGUGUUAGAAAUCCUCAAGAUGGAGAAUCAGGAUUUCCUUGUCCUCCUGGUCAUUACUGUCCAGAAGGUGCACCACGUCCUUUAAAGUGUCCUCCUGGUACCUGGUCUGGCAAUGAAGGCAGGAGGAGUUUGCAGGAUUGCCAGCCUUGUCCUGGAGGGCACUAUUGCAACAGCUCUGGGCAGAGAGCCCCCACAGGACACUGCAGCCCAGGGUAUUACUGUGUCAGUAGGGCCCAGACCCCAACACCCACUGAUGGACUCUCAGGGGCUCCGUGUCCCCUUGGUCACUUCUGUCCUCUUGGAUCCAGGAGUCCAGAACCAUGUCCAUCAGGCUCCUAUAUGCCACAGACCCAUGGAGAGAAGUGCCAUGCAUGCCCUGAGGGUGAAUACUGUGUCCCUGGUGAGCAACCAGAGCCAUGUCCCCAGGGGUAUUUCUGUCCCAAGGGCACAGCUCUUCCAGUGGCUUGUCCAGCAGGGUCAUAUAACCCAUCACAAAGGCAAGCCAGCUGCCUCCCCUGUCCCCAAGGAUUCUUCUGCCCCAAAAAUUCCUCUUCAUUUUUGGAGAAUGAAUGUUCAGCUGGCCACUACUGCCCUGCUGGCACUGCUUCUGCCACUCAGUUUCCAUGCCCUGAGGGGACUUACAACCCACAGAAUGGGAGCAGCCUGCUGUCUCACUGUCUCCCCUGCGAACGAGGUAAAUGGCAAAUAAGGAGUAUCUCACAAUGGUGUCUGGGCAGUCUGAAAAUACAUUUUGAAUGUACUUGAGGUUCAGCAAUAGCAUUUGCAUGUUUCAGUGGAUGAAUAACAGGCUAUGGUGUCUCAUGCCCAGUAUGUCAUAUGGAAAUGAAGACAGUCAGCUAUUCAGUGUUAUUGUUGAUCUAAGGGCUUCUGAAGCUAUAUUCUGAACAGCACUUGGCAGGGCUCUUUGAUUGGAGUCAGACACUUCAGACAAAGUGUUACAUCUUGGCUCUAAAAUGUACCUUAAAGAGAUGUGAUAUGGAAAAAUGUGGGAGAAGAUAUUAGUCUGGGAGAUUGUCAUCUCCGUGCUGUCACACAUCUGUC
rnacentral:lncRNA from 1 species